UAUAAUAAUACGGGUGUUAGAUUCAUGGGGAUCCCAUUAGUACUCGAGGAACAAGAAAGAAAACUAUCCGUUAACAGCCUAGAAAUAUCAAAUCGACAUCACAAUCCUUUUCCCUGCAGGAAAAUAGUAACGUUAAAAAACAACCCGUCUGUUACACUUCCACUUCAUUGAUUUUGAUUUACAGUACACGAAAUAAUUCCUUGAUCUUUCAAGUUCCUCUUUUCUUUGCCUGUUAAAUUCUGUAACAACACUGGAGUUCCACGGUGGAGACAAAGUAGAAGUAUGUAGCGAAGAGGAAGGAUUUCUUGGAUCAUAUUAUGCAGCGACAACGGUCAAGAACUUAGUGGAAGAGGAAGACAUGUCAAAGCAUCUGAUAGAGACACACCGCAAGCCCAGCGCUAAAACACACCGCUGGAGCACUCUGCUCAACGGCCUUAACCUGCGCACCCACCCAACACCUAAACCAUUAACUCGCCCGCUCGCCCGCUCAAACCCAGUCCUCCUCAUCUUCUUCUUCUUCAAGCCAAACCCCUUUCUAGUCGAUGGAGUGACAAUUUCUAAGAAAACUCCGCUAAUGGUGCUGCUCUUUAAUCUCUUUGAUAGAAGGCGGAUGAUUCUGUAAUUUCAGGAUGUAUAUAAAGCAGGCAUUUAACCUGCUUGCUUAGUUCUCUUCAUUGUGCAACCAACAAUAGGCAGGAGAACCAAAAUCAUAUCGGAUCUGCUGAUAUCUGUUUCAAAAGAAUAGAGACAAGCCAGGAUUAAAGUUCACCAAGAUUCCUUAAGACUUGGUAGUGUGGGUGUUAUCGGGUAUUUUCCACCAGCAUGCUUUGAGCUCAGCAAGACCCCUUUAAUAUCAUUGAAGACGCCCUUUUGGGCAUGACCAAACUCAAGAACGAAUACUACGCGAAGACACAAUUAUAAAAGCUUGCAGGGUUGAAUUCCCUACGAAGCCUAUUAUCUCAAAUGAGGCGAAGUUGGAGAUAACAGACCUGACAAGAAUAUUUUUUUUCAUUUAGCCAUUCGUUUUGUAUUGAGUGAUCUCUUCCACAACCUAUGCAAUUAUGACAAGCAUUAACUACUCGAUGGAGGUGCAGGACAUCAAGUUUUAUCUGCUUUCAUUGAUAUUGUGUUGAUAAUUCUGACAAUGGCAUCUCGGUGAUCGUUGUUUUUCCUUAAAAGUUGUUUUUUAAGCAUCUUUUCUGGAAGUGCUUAAUUGGUUGAAUGUGCUUUUGGUUUGUAAAGGUGCAAUACUUUACAAUCUUUCAUUCCUGUAUAUUUAUGGCUACAACAACUCUCUUAAAUGGUAAUUGAUUCUUCUGUACCCUAAUGACGAUCAUGAUGGAAAAGACGUUGAAGAACUCAAGCUUUCUGUGGCAAAAGAUCACAUCCAGACUGUCGAUGGCUGCUAAUUUGAGGGGUUAUGUACUGACCAAUAGUGAUGGGGAAAGGUAAAAUGGAUGGAAGCUUUAACUUACUGUGAGACACCUAUUGCAUAAGCUUUUCUCUUAGCAUAAAUAGUGAUUAAGUAAGGAAGAAAGUCGUUAUGACGGGGGGGCUUUUAUGAUUAUCGAUGCUCAAAGUUGAAGUUUAUGAACAUAAUUAUGUAGAACAAAUCACAUUGAGGUAAGAAAUCUCAUGAUUGUGCAGUUUCCAUCACAGACUAAAAUGAGAAAACAGAGAGCUAGAGACUAAUUUCACAACUAAUCUGAAAUAACAAAAACAAAAUUUGGAAGCCCUAAUAUCCUUUGCUAAAUCUGAGAUGUUACAUGGUUCUUAAUUGUAGGGGAAGGAACUAAAUGAUGUUAACUCAUUGGCUGAAGUCAUAACACUAACUCUAAAGUGUGCUUUGAGUUGUUUUUAGAAACUUGAUUUUAAUAUUUCACUAUAAAAAUAUUUUUUUGACUAGCUGUUCUUCCAGGUGUUUCUGAGAGGAUGGAUAGACUCAAUGCUGAAGUCACAACACAACUCUGAACUGUGAAUAUGCUUUAUUGUUUCUUUAUGUGAUAAAUGACUAGUCUAAGCUUCAGUUUUUUGUUCUUGUCUUUUAAUGUAUUAUUAAACUAUUAUGGCUUGUAAUCAAUGUUUUAAAUUAAUUUAUCCUGUCUGAUUUUCCAGCCGUUAUCCUUGCUGAAAUCCUAGAAGAUGAUGUUUUGGUCUUCCCCCACAUGUAUAAGAGGAGUUUGAAAGAGUUGCAUAAAAUGCUUCAUUGGUGCAAUGAGCAUUUCAACAGUUCAGCCAUGUAAACAAGGAGGCACUAGAUCAACAUGUAAAUCUCACUAGGAAACAGGAGGAACUUCAGACACGGCAAGCUGAACUUGAGGCAAGUGACAAGGUACUACGGUACUGGAUUUUAAUGGUUAAAUGUCUUCUGUUGUACUUAUUGUUUUUAAUGUGAGAUUAUGAUUUAUGUAUCUUUACUUCAACGAUAAACAUAAGCCAUAAAAAAAUAGACUGAGCUUGAGCCUGAUGUGAAAGACGUGCUAGAGAGAAUUUCAGAACAUAUCCAA